CCUACGGGAGGCAGCAGUGGGGGAUAUUGCACAAUGGGGGGAACCCUGAUGCAGCGACGCCGCGUGGGUGAAGAAGCGCCUCGGCGCGUAAAGCCCUGUCAGCAGGGAAGAAAAUGACGGUACCUGAGGAAUAAGCCCCGGCUAACUACGUGCCAGCAGCCGCGGUAAUACGUAGGUGGCAAGCGUUAUCCGGAUUUACUGGGUGUAAAGGGAGUGUAGGCGGGGAAGCAAGUCAGAUGGGAAACCCAGGGGCUCAACUUGUGGCCUGCAUUUGAAACUGUUUUUCUUGAGUACUGGAGAGGCAGACGGAAUUCCUGGUGUAGCGGUGAAAUGCGUAGAUAUUAGGAGGAACACCAGUGGCGAAGGCGGUCUGCUGGACAGCAACUGACGCUGAGGCGCGAAAGCGUGGGGAGCAAACAGGAUUAGAUACCCCAGUAGUC
rnacentral:rRNA from 1 species